rnacentral:lncRNA from 1 species
AUAAAGUCACCAACAACAUCACCUUCUAAACACUAAUUCACUAUUAAAGUCACCGGCACUUAAGCAUUUUUAACAAAUAAAGUAACCAACAACAUCACCUUCUAAACAAAACUUCACUUUUAAAGUCAGCGGCUCUUAAGCAUUUUCAACAAUAAAGUCACCAACAACAUCACCUCCUAAAAGCAAAUUCACAAUUUGAGUCACCGGCACUUAAGCAUUUUCAACAAAUUAAGUCACCAACAAUAUCACCUCCUAAACACUAAUUCACUAUUAAAGUCACCGGCACUUAAGCCUUUUCAACAAAUAAAGUCACCAACAACAUCACUUUGUAAACACUAAUGCACUAUUAAAGUCCCCGACACUUAAGCAUUUUCAAUAAAUAAAGUAACCAACAACAUCACCUUCUAAACACUAAUUCACUAUACCAGUCACCGGCACGUAAGCAUUUUUAAUAAAUAAUGUAACCAAGAACAUCACCUUCUAAAAAAAAGUUCCCUUUUCAAGUCACCAGCACUUAAGCAUUUUCAACAAAUAAAGUAACCAACAACAUCACCUUCUAAACACUAAUUCACUAUUAAAGUCACCGACACCUAAGCAUUUUCAACAAAUAAAGUAACCAACAACAUCACCUUACAAACAAAAGUUCACUUUUAAAGUCACCGGCACUUAAGCAUUUUCAACGAAUAAAGUCACCAACAACAUUACCCCCUAAACUCUAAUUCACUAUUAAAGUCAUCGGUACUUAAGCAUUUUCAACAAAUAAAGUCACCAAGAACAUCACCUUCUAAACACUAAUUCACUAUUAAAGUCACCGGCACUUACGCAUUUUCAACAAAUAAAGUAACCAACAACAUCACCUUCAAAACAAAAGUUUACUUUUAAAGUCACUGGUACUUAAGCAUUUUCAACAAAUAAAGUCACCAACAACAUCACCUCCUAAACACUAAUUCUCUAUUAAAGUCACCGGCACUUAAGCAUUUUCAACAAAUGAAUUCACCAACAAUAUCACCUCCUAAAUACAAGUUCACUAUUAAAGUCACCAAAACUUAAGAAUUUUCAAUAAAUAAAGUCACCGACAACAUCACCUUCUAAACACUAAUUCACUAUUAAAGUCACCGGUACUUAAGUAUUUUCAACAAAUAAAGUAACCAACAACAUCACCUUCUAAACAAAAGUUCACUAUUAAAGUCACCGACACUUAAGCAUUUUCAACAGAUAAAGUCACCAACUACAUCACCUCCUAAAAACUAAUUCACAAUUAAAGUCACCGGCACUUAAGCAUUUUCAACAAAUUAAGUCACCAACAACAUCACCUCCUAAACACUAAUUCACUAUUAAAGUCACCUGCACUUAAGCAUUUUCAACAAAUAAAGUCACCAACAACAUUACCCCUUAAACACUAAUUCACUAUUAAAGUCACCGGCACUUAAUCAUUUUCAACAAAUAAAGUCACCAACACCAUCACCUUCUAAAUAAAAGUUCACUAUUAAAGUGACCGGCACUUAAAGCAUUUUCAACAAAUAAAGUCAACCACAACAUCACCACCUAAACACUACUUCACUAUUAAAGUCACCGGCACUUAAGCAUUUUCAACAAAUAAAGUCACCAACAACAUCACCUCCUAAAAACUAAUUCACUAUUAAAGUCACCGGCACUUAAGCAUUUUCAAGAAAUAAAGUCAUCAACAACAUCACCUCCUAAACACUAGUUCACUAUUAAAGUCACCAAAACUUAAUUUUUUUCAACUAAUAAAGGCACCAACAAAACUUAUUCACUAUUAAAGUCACCGGUACUUAAGCAUUUUCAACAAAUAAAGUCACCAACAACAUCACCUCCUAAACACUAAUUAACUAUUAUAGUCACCGGCACUUAAGCAUUUUCUAUAAAUAAAGUCACCAACAACAUCACCUCCUAAACACUAGUUUACUAUUAAAGUCACCAAAACUUAAGAUUUUUCAACUAACAAAGGCACCAACGAAACUAAUUCACUAUUAAAGUCACCGGCACUUAAGCAUUUUCAACAAAUAAAGUCACCAACAAAAUCACCUCCUAAACACUAAUUCACUAUUAAAGUCACCGGUACUUAAGCAUUUUCAAUAAAUAUAGUCACCAACAACAUCAUCUCCUCAACCCUAUUCACUAUUAAAGUCACCAAAAUUUAAGAUUUUUCAACUAACAAAGGCACCAACGAAACUAAUUCACUAGUAAGGUCACCAAAAGUUAAGCAUUUUCAACAAAUAAAGUCACCGAAAACAUUACCUCCUAAACACUAAUUCACUAUUAAAGUCACCGGCACUUAAGCAUUUUCAACAAAUAAAGUCACCAACAACAUCACCUUCUAAACA